rnacentral:rRNA from 1 species
UACGGGGGGAGCAAGCGUUGUUCGGAUUUACUGGGCGUAAAGGGCGCGUAGGCGGCGCAACAAGUCACUUGUGAAAUCUCCGGGCUUAACCCGGAGCGGCCAAGUGAUACUGUCGUGCUAGAGUGUGGAAGGGGCUACUGGAAUUCUCGGUGUAGCGGUGAAAUGCGUAGAUAUCAGGAGGAACACCGAUUGCGAAGGCAGCUCGCUGGAACGUUACUGACGCUGAGACGCGAAAGCGUGGGGAGCAAACAGG